rnacentral:rRNA from 1 species
GACGAACGCUGGCGGCGUGCCUAAUACAUGCAAGUUGAGCGCUGAAGGUUGGUACUUGUACCCACUGGGUGAGCAGCGGACGGGUGAGUAACGCGUGGGGAAUCUGCCUUUUAGCGGGGGACAACAUCUGGAAACGACUGCUAAUACCGCAUAAUACCUUUAAACACAAGUUUCAAGUUUGAAAGAUGCAAUUGCAGCACUCAAAGAUGAUCCCGCGUUGGAUUAGCUAGGUGGUGAGGUAAACGCCCACCCAGGCGAAGAUACCUAGGCUACCUGAGAGGGUGGUCCGCCACAAUGGGAAUGGGAAAAGGGCCAAACUCCUUAGGGGGGCAGCAGUAGGGAAUCUUCGGCAAAGGACGGAAGUCCUACCGAGCAACGCCGCGGGAGUGGAGGAGGUUUUCGGGUCGUAAAACUCUGUUGGUAGGGAAGAACGUUGGGGAGAGUGAAAAGCUCAUCAAGUGACGGUAACUAACCAGAAAGCGACGGCUAACUACGUG